rnacentral:lncRNA from 1 species
AAGAAUAAGAAUGAAUUGUAUAGCAGAAUAACUUUUUUAUUCUCAUUUCAUAUAAUAUUGGACAAUACAAUUGAUUUGAUGCUAAUACAAAACUAACUCUAACUGAAAAUUACAAUGAGAACAUUCAAACUACGCCAUUUAGAAAUAAAAACAAUGAGUAAUCCCUGUAAUUGCUAAAGAUCUCAUUUCAUUCUUCUUGCUAUAAAUUUCUUCCUCUUCCGAUAUCACAUCUUCAAUCUGAACAGUUUGGAGCACAAAUUCCGUAAGUUUGAAUCCAUCUUUCCAGGCCUAUAAGCACUCACACAACCAUCAUUUAAGAACCCUUGUCCCCUGUACCGCUUUUGACAUCAGAAUACUAUCCAUUAAGUUAGAAUGUCUGGUUUCAUACAACCUGAUACAAUCAACCUAUUUCUCCAAAUAAGACUGCAACUCUGUUCAUGAAUCUACCCUCAACUUGUUUCUCCCAUCUGAAAUCAGAAGGCCUUGUUUCAUAAAAUUGAAUUCAAAAACAAUCUUAGUGAAGACAAUAAUAUACAUGAGGCAAAACUCUUGAAUUCUAGUUAUAGUGCCUAAUAAAUAAUCUCAGUGAAGACAAGAAUAUACAUGAGGCAAAACUAAAUUUUUAAAUUCUAGUUAUAGUGCCUAAUUUUAUUACAUUUCCAAUCCAUAACUAAACUGCAACAUGCUCAUAAUUCAACGUUAGGAUAGACAUAUAAGUUUUAUACAAGUUUUAUUGGGUUUGGACCUCCUCUUCAAAUUCUAAACAUCAGGCAUGAGUUCCUCUUUCAGCUUCCACACAAUGAUAAAACACCAAACAAAAAUUAAUACGAAUAAAGCAUAUUUUCAGAAUUAGGCUACACUCCUACAUUCAAAAAAGUUUAUCACAUAAGUAUUUUUACAGUAUAUUGGUUUUGAAAUUUGUGUUCCAUAAGUGUGUCAAAGGCUUCACUCAUAGUUAUCAUAUUAAGAAGUGGUCUACCUUAAAUCGGGUCAUAUGUACAAAACUUUUCUAUAACUCAAUUCUCAGUCAAGGUGGCAUUUACUAUACACAAAGCACAAAUUUGUGCACCAUACACAAGUUUGGCAUUUACUUCUCAACCCUAUUUCUGACAAGAAUAAUCUCAGUGAAUCAAUUCAUUCUCAGUUUCAAAAUUCAUUGUUACAACAUAUAUAUAUAAAUGGAACCAUUAACUCUUCAAUAACCAAGAAAAAUUAUCUAAAAACUGAAAAAGGUGAAUGAGAAAGGGGAAGAGGUUAAAUUACCAUGUUUGGGGAUUACAGAUUGAGCUUCGAUUGACAAGAGCUGAGAAAAUGAAACCCUCAAUUAAACAAAGAGUACGGUGAGGAGGAAACGGAAAAGGGAAAGAUGGCGGUGAGGAACAAAGGUCAAUGACAGUGAGGAAAGGAACAAAGUAACAUCGAAAGAUGAUUUUGCAGAGGGAAAAGUGUCACGUGAGUUUCUAAUUGUUAUAUUUAGCGAGAUAUAUGAGCCGUAGGAUUUGUUUAAUUAAGCGGUUGAGAUUUGGUGUAAGUCUUUGGACUUACACCUGGUGUCAACGGAUCCU